rnacentral:rRNA from 1 species
UACGUAGGGAGCAAGCGUUGUCCGGAAUCAUUGGGCGUAAAGCGCGCGUAGGCGGCCCGAUAAGUCCGCUGUAAAAGUCAAUGGCUCAACUGUUGAAAGCCGGUGGAUACUGUCGGGCUAGAGUACGGAAGAGGCAAGUGGAAUUCCUGGUGUAGCGGUGGAAUGCGCAGAUAUCAGGAGGAACACCCAUAGCGAAGGCAGCUUGCUGGGACGUUACUGACGCUAAGGCGCGAAAGCGUGGGGAGCGAACAGG